CAGUACCGAAGCUGGGCGCCAGGACUCGAGCGGCGAGUUAGAAUUUCAGCUCCACUACGUUAGGGGGCGCUGCGGGGCCGCGUGCGCAGGUUCGGCCCCGAGACAGCACUGCCUCGGGCUGCCCCCUCCGAGGCCGCAGUCGCGCUUCUGCGGGUGCAGAGCCGGUGGCGGCCGCUUCCCGGGGCGCUGUGUGGUCCUGUGUCUACCGCACCUACCCGUGCCGCUGUCGGCCCUCGCCAUCAGUCCUAACGCCCCGGGGGAGUCACCGCAGGACCAUCUCUGGACGUCUUCUCUGAGCGGACCCCCGCUAAUGCUGCUGCUCUCCCGUCGGGGGACUCCGAGGCCCCGAGCGGGGCGGGAGAACCGGUCCGAGCUCAGCGCCCAGACAGGGCUCCGGCCUCUGCGCCCGGCUAGACCUCUUGCGAUUUGUGCGUCCUCGGGAGAGAGCCGGCGCAGGAAGGCUUUGCCCGCGUCCCGGAUCCCUACCUCCGAUCCCGGCAUCCGAGACUCGGAAAGACAGGCGACGGUUGUCUGGAGAGCAGGUGAUGUCCCGCACGGCUUUAGGACGGCCCACUCGUUUUCCCUUCCGCAACCUUUAAAAGCGGGCGUGGAAAGCUGCCUUUUACACACCGGUUGGCAGAAGUUUCGACUAGAGACGCUCCCGGGGUCCCGGAGGAGCGGUGUGGACUCGCGUCCGGUCCUUGCGCUGAAGCCCCGCCCGGUACUUGCGGUCUGCGGUUAGUUGCUCCUGCCGCAGCUGCAGACUCACUCUCCCACGGCUUUGCUGGUUCUGCACCAGGCAGGGCCCCUUCGCCCCUGCAGAGUCCGCACGCGCACUCCCUGAUGGGCUCCGGCUGUCCAGGGCCAAGGAUGACCCAGGACUGGACCAAGCUGAAGCCAGGAGCUGGGCACCCAAUCCAGUUCUCCCACGUGGGUGGCAGGACCCCAACUACUAGAGCCGUCACCUGCUGCUUGCCAGGAUGCACCUUCAGGGGAAGCUGGACCAGAACCGGGCACUCUGAUGUGAUCCUUAGCCACUGGGGUCCCAAGGCGUGAUGCCGUCUCAGAAGUGCAUUGGCAGAGAGGAGAGCACUAGUCCUCCUUCAUGGACAUCCUCGUUUCAGCCCCUGGCAGGUGUUCGGUGGUCAGCAGCUGCAGAGCAGAAGAAAAACAGGAGAGGAGAAAAGGGCUGUCUUCCUUGGCUUCAGUGUCUGGACCGCGCGAAAGGAGUCUUUGUAGGAAUAGAAGCGGCUCUUGGGUCCUUGUGCUCGUUUGGCUGACCGUUUGGGCUUCUGCCAUUGGCCUCUUUUCUCAGCAGCCCUCUGUCCUUUUCUGCCCCUGCAUUCGUGAGUCCACUGUAUGCAGAGGCAUCAUGGGAGUUGAAAUGUCAGGAACAUUCUAGACCCCAGUCUCCUUGAGCUCUCUGAUGUGGCCUGGGAAAGCAAUAGAAGAUGGCCCAAGUCCUUGGGCCCCUGCACCCAUGUGGGAGACCCAGAAGAAGCUCCUGGCUCCUGGCUUCGGAUCGGCGCAGCUCCAGCCACUGGGGAGUGAACCAGUGGAUGGAAGACUUCUCUCUCUCGCUCUGCCUCUCCUUCUCUCUCUGUGUAACUCUGACUUUCAAAUAAAUUUUUAAAAACACUAAAAAAAAAAAAAGUGGCACCAGGAGGGGCUGGCGCUGUGGCACAGUAGGUUACUCCUCUGCCUGUAGUGCCAGCAUCCCAUAUGGGUGCUGGUUCUAGUCCUGGCUGCUCUGUUUCCCAUCCAGCUCUCUGCUAUGGCCUGGGAUAGCAGUGGAAGAUGGUCCAAGUGCUUGGGCCCCUGCACCCACGUGGGAGACCCAGAGGAAGCUCCUGGCUUCAGAUCAGCUCAGCUCUGGCCAUUGCAUCCAUUUGGGGAGUGAACCAGUGGCUGGAAGGCAUCUCUCUCUCUCUCUCUCUCUCCCUCUCUCCCUCUCUCCCUCUGCCUCUCUGUCUUUCAAAUAAAAAAAAACAGAUAUGAUAUUGGAGUCCAAGUACUGGUAGUGAUCUGCUCUAUGGCCUCAUAUUCUGGGGCUGGACUUGGAUCUGGAGAUUGUGGGAGAAAUUCCCAAGGGAUAGAGACACUGGCUCUCCCAGGAUAAUGGCCCUGGUGGCUCCCGGGGGCGUCCUUGUGGAGUCAUCCCAGGUCCCCUGAGCUUGUGGAAAGCUGAGAGGGGUCUCAUGGAGGUGGCCUAGUACCCAGGCUGAGCUUCAGGAAGAGCUGUGACGUUGUCUGCAUGGGGUGCAACAGAUGAAGGCAUCCGUUAAGUGUCCCAGCUGCUCUGCUUCCGAUCCGGGUUCCUGCUGAUGCACCUGGGAAAAGCAGUAGGGGAUGGCCCAAGUAUUUGGGCCCCUGCCACACCGUGGGAGACCUGGAUGAAGCUCCACUCCUGGCUUUGGGUGGCUCUGCACUGGGCGUUUCGGCCAUCUGGCGAGUGAACCAGCGGAUGGAAGCUCGAGCUCUCUCGCUCCCCUCCCCCUUCCCUCCCCCUUCCCUCCCCCUUCCCUCCCCCUUCCUCUCCCUCUCCCCCUCUCCCUCUCUUUGUAACUCUGACUUUCAAAAUAAAUAAAUCUUUAAAAAAACAAAAAACAAAAAGAAGUGAUACCCUUACUGCUGCACCACAAUGCUGGCCCCAACAAAGAUUCUUAAUCUACUGAAAAGAAUAUAUUUUUAAAGCACACUUGGAGUAUUUACUAAUAAUGCUUGCAUAUUUACAAAUAUUACUUGUGGCAUAACAUGCUAACUUCUAUGGCUGCAAAGCAAGUCUCAAAUACCAAUAUGUCAGUAUCAUCCAGACUACAAUAUAUGGCCUAACUUAAAGUCCAGAGAAAAACAAAACAAGCUUUAGAAAAUUCUAGACCUGAGUGGUAAUGAAAACACUAAAUAUGAAGGUGUGUGGGAGGUGUAGGCUCCAGUGAUCUCUCACUGGGAGAGAAUUUCCCAUUGGCAAGGAAGUAAAUGGCUCAUCACCCAGCUGCAGAUGGGAGCCGAGAGGGCCCCCCAGGGCUCUGAAAGCAGCUCUUGCAGAUUUUUGCAGCACCCUGAGGGAAUCAGGGCCCCAGUAACCGCUGGGACCAUAACGGAGGGGCCAGAAUAGAAUAUAUUUGACUCUACAAGGAAAAGGAAGCAGUUCAUUCCCUGUCCUAGCUUUGUAAAAUAAGUCGCCCUUCCUUUGAGGUGCUGGAGGAAACCAGGCUUAAUGAUACAUUUGAUUUAGAUCUGGUAGAGACAACACUAGUUUGUGUGGGGCAGGAGUUUUGUGAUUUUUUUUCAAAGAUUUAUUUUAUUUAUUUAAAAGAGUUACAGAGAGAGAUAGAGACAGAAAAGAGGUCUUCCAUCCACUGGUUCACUCCCCAAAUGGCUGCAAUGGCCGGAACUAAGCCAAUCUGAAGCCAGGAGCCAGGAGCUUCUCCUGGGUCUCCCAUGUGGGUGCAGAGGCCCAAGGACUUAGGCCAUCCUCCGCUGCUUUCCGAGGUGCAUUAUCAGGAAGCUGGAUCGGAAGUAGAGCAGCCCAGACAUGAACUGGUGCCCAUGUAGGAUGCCGGUGCCACAAGCCGGGCCCACAGCGCCGGCCCCAGUUGUUUUGUAAUUUGAAAAGAAUGCUGGGGCCGGCACUGUGGCACAGCGGGUUAAUGCCCUGGCCUGAAGCACCAGCAUCCCAUAUGGGCACCGGUUCAAAACCCGGCUGCUCCACUUCUGAUCCAGCUCUCUGCUAUGGCCUGGGAAAGCAGUAGAAGAUGGCCGAAGUCCUUGGGCCUUUGCGCCCACAUGGGAGACCUAGAAGAAGCUCCUGGCUUCGGAUAGGUGCAGCUCCAGCAGCUGUGGCCAACUGAGGAGUGGACCUUCGGAUGGAAGACCUCUCUCUCUCUCUCUGCCUCUCCUCUCUCUGUGUAACUCUUUCAAAUAAAAAUAAAAAAGAAUGCUGCCAUUUCCAAAUAGAAAAGAUAGCUUUUUUAUAGUGAAACAAGUCCCACAGAAAUAUAAUUUUGACCUCACCCUACAGCCAAAAUUUUUUUAAACAUUUAUUUAUUUAUUUAUUUGAAAAGCAGAGUUACAGAGAUAGAGAGAGAGAAGUCUUCCAUUCACUGGUUCACUCCCCAAAUGGCCAUAAUGGCUGGAGCUGAGCCAGUCUGAAGUCAGGAGCCGGGAGCUUCCUCUGGAUCUCCAAAAUGAGCACAGGUGCCCAAGCACCUGGGCCAUCCACUGCUUUCCCAGGCCACAGCAGGGAGCUAGAUUGGGAGCAGGGUAGCUGGGACUUGAACCGUUGCCCACAUGGGAUGCUGGGCGCUGCAGGCGAAGGCUUAGCCCACUGUGCCACAGCGCCAGCCCCACCAGCCAAGUAUUGCAGUAGCUGAAGUGUGUUUGCUCUGGUAUCAUAGGCGAUGCCUCCCUCCCUCUUCAGUAGCCUCCAUGUUCCUGUGAACACCUCUGUGCUCGUAACAGUCCCUGUGUGGAUUGUGCUGUUAGGUUUAAGUCUUGUGCCUGAUGUGAGUCAGUGUGACAGACAACAGUUUCACAAGCCAGUGCUUUUGAUUUUUCCUGAGAUGCAUUAGGGAGACCAAUCAGCAGGGGUUAGGAUGGAAUUCUUUGAACUCUCUGAAUGGGCUCGCCAUGGUACGCUCUUCUCCAGAGGACAGGUUAGGAAAAACUAUUUUUUUAAUUUAUUUUUUUCCAGAAACCUAUUAUUUAAGGAAUAUAAACUUCAUGCAUUUCAUAAGUGCAACUUUAGGAACACUGAUUCUUCUCUCUCUACCUGCCCUCCCACCCUUCUUCUCCCUCCCUCUCCUAUUCCCAUUCUUAUUUUUUACUAAGAUAUGUUUUCAAUUAACUUUAUAUACAUUUGAUUAACCCUAGAUUAAGUAAAGAGUUCAACAAAUAGUAUGAAAAAAACCAAACUGUUCCUCAACAGUCGAGACAAGUACUGCAAAACUAUUCUUUUUAGGUCAAGUGUUUUCUGUGGCACUGGCUCAGCCAAGUAUCCAGCACCUCAACUUUUCUCAACACAGGCUGUGAUAUGAACGGGAUUGCCGUGAGCGUGCAGUGCCCCGGGAAGAUGGGUGGAGAUGCGUUUGGGUUAAGCUCAGCCCACGUUUCUCACAUCUGCAGGAAACUAGAGUGAGGAUGACAUCAGAAGUCCACAUGUGGAGAGACAGGGACGCAGGACGUGGAGUCCUGGAGUCCAAUCCCUGGCGUUGUCUUGCAGGUUCACCUUGACCUUUGCCCUCCCACUCAUUUGAUUACAUAAACUUUUCAAUUUUUCUUUCUGUCUCCUUCUUAUUAGCAUCAAUUUGGUUUCUGGUACCAAUACCUUCUGGCUAAAAGCCCCAGUCUUUUCCUUAACUUGCCCCAAAUGGCCGAUUACUAAGAAACUGCGAAUUUGGCUGUUGCACAAGGCACUGUGGGCAUUUUGCUUAUCUGGGGUGACUUUCCUGUUUGUGACACUGGCCAACCUAGUUAGUAACUGGGGCAACAUACUGAACUCUCACAAUACGCUGGGGUAAGCUGCCCACAGCAUUCGGACCAGAGCCCAUCCUCAGUCGUGGCUUGUCCGAUGUGGUGGGCACCCUGCCUCUGAGCAGAAGCAUGUAUGUGAACCGGGCCUUUCAUACGUGCAGACGUCAGGGGUUCUGGAAUCCUAGUGCUCUCUGGGGGUGUUCCAGCAUUGUGGGUGUUCUGGCAUUUUGGGUGUCAUGGAUGUUUGGGUAUUCAGGUAUUCUGGGGCAUGAGUGUAGCCUUGUGAGGACCCAGCUUGGCAAUCCGGACUGCCUGGAAAGCGGUGCUAUCAAGAGUGGAGGGGGUGGGAAGAAGAGGUAUGGGGGGAAGAACUGCUAUAUUCCAAAAG